AACGAACGCUGGCGGCAGGCUUAACACAUGCAAGUCGAACGCCCCGCAAGGGGAGUGGCAGCCGGGUGAGUAACGCGUGGGAACAUACCCUUUUCUACGGAAUAGCUCUGGGAAACUGGAAUUAAUACCGUAUACGCCCUACGGGGGAAAGAUUUAUCGGGGAAGGAUUGGCCCGCGUUGGAUUAGCUAGUUGGUGGGGUAAAGGCCUACCAAGGCGACGAUCCAUAGCUGGUCUGAGAGGAUGAUCAGCCACAUUGGGACUGAGACACGGCCCAAACUCCUACGGGAGGCAGCGGGGGGGAAUUUUGGACAAUGGGCGAAAGCCUGAUCCACCCAUGCCGGGUGAGGGAUGAGGCCUUUGGGUUUGAAAACCUCUUUCCCCGAUGAAGAUAAUGCGGGUGGUCGGAAAAGAACCCCCGGCUACCUUCGUG
rnacentral:rRNA from 1 species